UACGGGGGAUGCGAGCGUUGUCCGGAUUCACUGGGCGUAAAGGGCGCGUAGGCGGCCCGGUCAGUCGGCGCUCUAAGUGCGGGGCUCAACCCCGUGAUGGCGCCGGGACGGCCGGGCUGGGGCGCGGCAGAGGGAGACGGAAUGCCGGGUGUAGUGGUGAAAUGCGUAGAGAUCCGGCGGAACACCGGUGGCGAAGGCGGUCUCCUGGGCCGAGGGCCGACGCUGAGGCGCGAGAUCGUGGGGAGCGAACCGG
rnacentral:rRNA from 1 species